CAAUAGCGUAUAUUAAUGUUGUUGCAGUUAAAAAGCUCGUAGUUGGAUUCCUGACCUGGGGUAGCCGGUCCGCCUUGCAAAAGGUGCGCACUGAGCGGCCUCGGUCAUCCUUGAGAAGAGCGGUCCUGGCAUUCAGUUGUCGGGGUCGGGAUUCUCGACGUUUACUGUGAAAAAAUCAGAGUGUUCAACGCAGGCUUACGCCUUGAAUACAUUAGCAUGGAAUAAUGAGAUAGGACCUUGGCGGUCUAUUUUGUUGGUUUGCACGCCGAGGUAAUGAUUAAAAGGGACGGUUGGGGUUCUUCGUAUUCAAUUGUCAGAGGUGAAAUUCUUGGAUUUAUGGAAGACGAACUGCUGCGAAAGCGUCGAACAAGGACGUUCUCAUUA
rnacentral:rRNA from 1 species